rnacentral:rRNA from 1 species
GACAGAGGAUGCAAGCGUUAUCCGGAAUGAUUGGGCGUAAAGCGUCUGUAGGUGGCUUUUCAAGUCCGCCGUCAAAUCCCAGGGCUCAACCCUGGACAGGCGGUGGAAACUACCAAGCUGGAGUUCGGUAGGGGAGACUGGAAUUCCUGGUGUAGCGGUGAAAUGCGCAGAUAUCAGGAGGAACACCGGUGGCGAAGGCGGGUCUCUGGGCCGAUACUGACGCUGAGGAGCGAAAGCGUGGGGAGCGAACAGG